CCAGAGGCCUGAUUAACACCAGCAGGAGUCCCUGCCCAGCGGCUCCAGCUGUCCAGCCCCACGGAGUGAUUCAACGUGAAAACAUGCAAGCAGACCUCCCGGACAUUCCGCCCCUGCCGCUGCUGCCUCACUCUGGCUAUGAAAACGCUCAGAAUUUCACAAGACUCUCUGAAAAUGUUCCUAAGGGGAGUUCUCCAGAGUUGGAGUGAGCCAGCCCUGAGUCUUCUGGAAGGGGUACAGAGGGGAAGGCGUUGUGUUCAGAGGGGCAGAGGCAGGGCUCCAACGCGACCAGCCUGAAAGGCUGGCUGCCUCUGGGCUCCAAGCUCGCCCUGCAAGGGUUCUGGCUCGCAGCUUUACGAGCAAGGGAAUUUACAGCUCUGCCCGCUUCCCCACCCACGACUACCUUUAAUUGCAAGCCUCACAUUUGCUCCCUGCACCCCUCUUGCCAAAGGCACUUCCCGACUCCCUCAGAGCAGACGGGCGCCAGCCGGGCCUCCAGACGACAACCGACAACCUCCAUGGUGACUCCUUGUCAGUCUAUUUCAACCCCAGUGCCUCAUAUUAUGCUGCUGUGUGAGAAAAGAGCCCUGACCCGAAGAGUCCCGUGACAGAAGGCUGACCAAUUCUGCAGGCAGCACUGCAAACAGACCCACCAGGACUUCUUGGACACAGAUGAAGGAGACCUGGAUCUAGCUGCAGCACCAUGGUGAUGGGCCAUCAGCCUUCCUGUCUUCCUGCUUCAUCUAUAGCAUAUCCCGGGGACUUGUUAAGUGCUCUGCUAACCUGACCCACUACCCCGGUAACACUGUCUGAUCAGCACUGAACGUUCUCAUUAAACUGUUCCUCAUUUAGGAGGCCUUUUGUAAAAUGCACACAAACCAUCUGUCUAAAUCACAGAUUUCUCCUCCAGUUGUGCGAGGGUAGACAACAGGCAGAGGCUGCAUUCCUGACUUGUCUAUUUGGGAAAGUGAAACCCACCCUCAGAUUUCUGGCUCUUUUCUCAUCAGCUAUGAUUUCAUGGAACCAAUUGGAGUUCUAUUGUUACCUUGGAGGUAACAUCUGUAGAGUCCUGUAGCAUCCUAUAUUGGAUUUCCUUCUGGAAUGGAGCUUUGGACCCUUCUGAAAAAUCAUGGUGAUGACAGUGAUCAUAAAAAUGACAUAUUUAGCACUGACUGUGAGCCAGGGAUUGUCCCAAGCAAUUUAUUUCUAUUAGCUCAUAUAAUUCUCAUGACAGUCUUAUGAGGUGGGUGCUAUCUGUGUCCCCUAUUUUACAAAGGCCGAGUGGCUUGGCUGAGGUCUCCCAGCGGCAAAUGUGAAGCUGAGAUGGGAAACCAGUGCUGAGCCCUCAUUCUUGAACUUGGAUGCAUAAUGCUUCCUGGGGCUCAGGCUCCACCUUCUCCAUAGCAUUCCUGCCUGCCAUGCUCUUGAGCUUUCUUUUACCUGCCCCAGAUUUAAUUCUGUCCUCUUUGUUGAAAAGCAGCAGUGGGUUGGAGCAGCAUUUUGGCCUUAUUUUGGGCUUAUCUUCCCUGUUUUUCCUACUUUGAAGGUUAAUUAAUUAUUUACUUUUUAAAAAUGUUAAUUUCCCCAAUAUAAUUUUUUUUCUACUGU
rnacentral:lncRNA from 1 species